rnacentral:ncRNA from 1 species
CAAAGUUAAUGCCACCCUUACUGCAAAGUAAGUCCGGAAAGCCAACGGAUCUCUUCAUUGAGAUGGCCGGGUUGCCUCU